rnacentral:rRNA from 1 species
CCUACGGGGUGCUGCAGUAGGGAAUAUUGCACAAUGGGGGAAACCCUGAUGCAGCAACGCCGCGUGGAUGAUGAAGGUUUUCGGAAUGUAAACUCCUUUUGUUAGAGAAGAAAAUGACGGUAUCUAACGAAUAAGCACCGGCUAACUCCGUGCCAGCAGCCGCGGUAAUACGGAGGGUGCAAGCGUUACUCGGAUUCACUGGGCGUAAAGGGAGCGUAGGCGGGAUAGCAAGUCAGGUGUGAAAUCCUAUGGCUUAACCAUAGAACUGCAUUUGAAACUGUUAGUCUAGAGUAUGGGAGAGGUAGGUGGAAUUCCUGGUGUAGGGGUAAAAUCCGUAGAGAUCAAGAGGAAUACUCAUUGCGAAGGCGACCUGCUAGAACAUAACUGACGUUGAUGCGCGAAAGCGUGGGGAGCAAACAGGAUUAGAUACCCGGGUAGUC